AAAAUAUUGCUCAGAGAAACUGAAGAUGACUUAUAAUAGAGGGAUAUAAUAUGCUCAUGGAAUAAAAGUCUAAGUAUGAUCAAGAUAUCAAUUUACCCCAAACUGAGCUGUAGAUGCAAAAUAAUACCAAUCAAAACCCCAGUACAUUUUUUUAAAUAUAGAAAUUGAGGGGAGGAGAAAGGAUUAAAGAUGAUGGUGAGAAAGGUGAGACAGAGGCCUCUUCCUAAAACCGCCUAUAAUACAAAAAUAUAAUUAAUACAAUGAAUCUUGAAAGAACAACAGGAAAGAGGGAAGCAACAGACUGCAUAUACCUGGAGAAAAGAAUAGACCUCACGAAAUAGGGUAAUGGUACCAAAGCCAUGGCCUAGUGGGACCCAAGCCCUUCCCCCACCCGAGCUCACCAAUGGGAGGAAAAGAAAUGGAACGGGAGGGAGUGGAGGCCUAGGACUGCUGAACACCUGGCUCUGGAGAUGUGCUCUGGGAGCAAAAACCUACAUUGCAUGGUGCUGUGGUGAUUAGGGGGGUUGGAAAGUUAAGACAUGCAGAAUACCUGGAGAGACUGAGAUUCUGGCCACUUGUGAAAAGCAGGGAUCCAUAUCUGGCUGCUCUGGGACAAAAGAAAGGCGGGCACUAUGAAAGACUUCCUAACAGCAAGAGGGCUGCUAAAGGGGCAAGGACAGCACAGAACCGGGUGCACUCUGACCAGCAGGUUGGGAACUUUCACGAUCUUCAGUCGCUCCAGUCACUGGCUGGAUAUGCAGCUCCAAAGACCCCCUCCGAGGUACGCAGCAUACUGCACCUUCCUCCAAGCCAGCCCACAACUGGCUGGCAAACGGGCAAACCCUGCCCUGGGGUCAGGCCAGCCAGAGGGAAGCCCUGCCUACAGCAGCUAUAAACGCAAAGUAUAGAGACUUAUACCUGUGUGAUUGGCCCACUGGUUCUGGCAGUGGAGACAGGCAUAGCAGCCGGGAAGCAGGAAACAGCUCUUUCCUCUCCCCAGGCACCAACACAGCUCCCCUGCAACCCUUGACAUUGCUCCAGGGGCUGAGCAGCUCGAGUAGAGCUUCCAGGCACUAGAGGAUGCCACAUACAAAUAUGACACAUCAAAGGAACCUGGUUCAAAGCAAAAUCAUACAUACACCAGAGAAAGUCAAGGGAAACCAACCUCAUGAAUCUUCCUGAAAGAGAGUUCAAAAUAAAAAUCGUAAACAUGCUCAUUGAGGUACAGAAAAAAUAUUCAGGAACUCAGGAAUGAAUUCCAUUUGGAGAUCCAAUCAUUACAGACACAUAUAAGAGAUGAAACAUACAAUAGAAGGAAGGUUUUAAAAGCACAUUAGAUACAGUGAAGGAGACAAUAAAUGAAACAGAAAUGAAAGAAGAGAAAUACAAAGAAGCUGAGGCAAAGAGAGAAAAAAGGAACUCUAUGAAUGAAAGAAUAUUGAGAGAACUGUGUGACCAAUACAAAUGGUUCAUAUUAUAGGGGUACCAGAAGAAGAAGAAAGAGAAAAAGUGAUAGACAGUGCCUUGAACAGGUAAUUGCUGAAAAUGUCACCAAUCUGGGGAAGGAGAUAGUCUCUCAGGCCAUGGAGAUCCACAGAUCUCCCAACACAAGGGGCCCAAGGUAAACAACACCAAGACAUAUAAUAAUUAAAACAGCAAAGAUCAAGGAUAAAGACAGACUAUUAAAAGCAGCCAGAGAACUGCCCUUGCACUCUUCACCAUGUAAGAACUUAUUCACUAUGUAAGAACUUGUUUACCAUGUAAGAACUUGUUUGUUAUGCUUCAGAAGAUUGGAGACUAUUGAGAAUUAGGCUUGGGGUUGAUUAAUGAUUGUGCAUUGAGUCCCCUAUACAGAAUUUUAUUGUUGUUAACAACCAUUUGAUCAAUAAGUAUGAGAGAUGCCCUCUCACAAAAAAAAAAAAAGCAGCCAGAGAGAGAAAAAAGAUCACCUACAAAGGAAAGCCCAUCAGGCUAUCAUCAGACUUCUCAGGAGAAACCUUACAGGCCAGAAGGGAGUGGGAUGAUAUGUUUGAUGCAAUUAAGGAGAAUGGCCUCAAACCAAGAAUAUUUUAUCCAGGAAGAUUAUCUUUUAAAUUUGAAGGAGGGAUUAAAUAAUUAGCAGAUAAGCAAAAGCUGAGAGAAUUUACCUCCCACAAGCCAUCUUUACAGUGUAUUUUGGAGGGACUGUUAUAGAUGCAAGUAUUCCUAAGGCUUAACAGAGGUCACCAGAGGAAAUAAAACCACCGUAAAGAAAGUAGAACAGUUAAUUACUUAGCAAAUGCAAAAUUAAAUCAACUAUCCCCCAAGUCAAUCAAGGAAUUGAGAAAGAGUACAGAAUAUGAUACCUAAUAUAUAAAGAAUGGAGGAGGAAGAAAAAGGAGGAGAAAAAAAGAACCUUUAGAUUGUGUUUGUAACUGCAUACUAAGUGAGUUAAGUUAGACUCUUAGAUAGUAAGAAAUUAACCUUGAACCUUUAGUAACCAAGAAUCUAAAGCCUGCAAUGGGAAUAAGUACAUACAUAUCGAUAAUUACCCUAAAUGUAAAUGGUCUCAAUGUACCAAUAAAAAGACACAGAGUUGGUGAAUGGAUAAAAAAACAAGACCCAUCUAUAUGCUGCAUACAAGAGACUCACAAUAAAUCCAAAGACAUACACAGACUAAAAGUGAAGGGAUGGAAAAAGAUAUUUCAUGCAACUAAUAGCGAGAAAAAAGCAGGAGUUGCAGUACUUGUAUCAAUUAAAACAGACUUCAAAAGAAAGAAACUCACAGGAGACAAAGAAGGACAUUAAAUAAUGAUAAAGAGGUCAAUCCAACAAGAAGAUAUAACCAUUAUAAAUACCUAUGCACCAAACACAGGAGCACCUACAUAUAUGAAACAAAUACUAACAGAAUUAAAAGGGGAAAUAGAAUGCAAUGCAUUCAUUCUAGGAGACUUCAAUGCUCCACUCACUCCAAAGGACAGAUCAACCAGACUGAAAAUAAGUAAGGACACAGAGGCACUGAACAGACAGACCUAACAUACAUCUACAGAACUCUACACCUAAAAAAGUAGCAGAAUACUCAUUCUUCUCAAGUGCACAGGGAACAUUUUCAAGAAUAGAUCAUAUAAUAGGCCACAAAAAGAACCUCAGUAAAUUAAAAAAGAUUGAAAUUGUACCAACCAGUUUCUCAGAUCACAAAGGUAUCAAACUAAAAAUAAAUUAUGCAAAGAAAAUGAAAAAUCCCACAAACAUAUGGAGGCUUCACAACAUGCUCCUAUAUAACCAAAGGAUCAAUGACCAAAUAAAAAUAGAGAUCAAGCAACAUAUGGAGAAAAAUGACAACAAUAAUUCAAUACUGCAGAAUCUGUGGGAUGCAGCAACGGCUGUGCCAAGAGGAAAGUAUAUUGUAAUACAGGCCUACCUCAGGAAAGAAGAACAAUCACAUAUGAGCAGUCUAAACUAAGAAUUAAUGAAACUAGAAAAAGAAGAACAAACGAGGCCCAAAGUCAGUAGAAAGAGGGACAUAAUAAAGAUUACAGCAGAAAUAAAUAAAAUUAAAAUGAAGAAAACAAUAGAAAGAAUUAAUGAAAGCAAGAGCUGGUGUUUGAGAAAAUAAACAAAACAGAUAAACCCCUAGCCAGACUUAUCAAGAAAAAAAGAGAGUCUAUACAUAUAAACAGAAUCAGAAAUGAGAACGCAAAAACCACUAUGGACACCAGAGAAAUACAAAUUAUUAGAGAAUACUAUGAAAAAUUAUUUGCUAACAAACUGGAUAACCUAGAAGAAAUGGACAACUUUCUAGAAAAAUACAACCUUCCAAGGCUGACCCAGAAAGAAUCAGAAAAUCUGAACAGACCAAUUACCAGCAAAGAAAUUGAACUGGUAAUCAAAAAUCUACCCAAGAACAAAACCCCUGGGCCAAAUAGAUGGCUUCACUGCUAAAUGUUAUCAAACAUUUAGUGAAGACCUAAUACCCAUCCUCCUUAAAGUUUUCCAAAAAAGUAGAAGAAGAGGGAAUACUCCCAAACUCAUUCUAUGAGGCCAGCAUCACUCUAAUACCAAAAACAGGUAAAGACACCAAAAAAAGAGAAAAUUAUAGACCAAUAUCCAUGAUAAACAUAGAUGCAAAAAUACUGAACAAAAUAUUAGCAAAUCCAAUUUAAAAAUGCAUCAAAAAGAUCAUCCAUCAUGAUCAUGUAGGAUUUAUUCCAGGGAUGCAAGGAUGGUACAACAUUUGAAAAUCCAUCAACAUCAUUCACAACAUCAACAAAAAGAAAGACAAAAACCACACGAUCAUCUCCACAAAUGCUGAAAAACCAUUCGACAAAAUUCAGCAUCCAUUCAUGAUAAAACUCUGAACAAAGUGGGUAUAAAGGGCAAGUACCUCAACGUAAUAAAGGCCAUAUAGGACAAACACACAGCCAACAUCCUACCUAAAAGCAAGAAGCUGAAAGCCUUUCCUUUAAGCUCGGGAACAAGACAAGAAUGCCCACUCUCCCCACUGUUAUUUAACAUGGUUUGGGAAGUCCUUGCCAUGGCAAUCAGACAACACAAAGAAAUAAGAGGCAUCCAGAUUGGUAAAGAAGAAGUUAAACUAUCACUGUUUGCAGAUGACAUGAUAUUGUAUAUAAAAAACCCUAAAGAAUCCACUCCAAAACUACUGGAUCUAAUAUCUGAAUUCAGCAACGUUGCAGGAUACAAAAUUAAUAUACAGAAAUCUGUUGCACUCCUAUACACUAAUGAGAAGUAACAGAAAGAGAAAUCAGGAAAACAAUUCCAUUCACAGUUGCAUCAAAAAGAAUAAAAUACCUAGGAAUAAACCUUACCAAGGAAGUGAAAGACCUAUACACUGAAAACUACAAGACACUGAUGAGAAAAAUUAAACAAGAUACCAAUAAAUGGAAACACAUCCUGUUCUCAUGGAUAGGAAGAAUUAAUACUGUCAAAAUGGCCAACCUGCCUAAAGCCAUAUACAGAUUCAAUGCAAUCCCUAUCAAAACACCAGCAGCAUUCUUCAACAAACUAGAGAAAAUCAUUCUAAAAUUCAUAUGGAACCACAAAAGACCCUGAAUAGCCAAACCAAUCCUGAAAAAGAAGAAUAAAGCUGGGGGGUUUAUGCUCCCCAACUUCAAGCUCUACUACAAAGCCACAGUAAUCAAGACAAUUUGGUACUGGCACAAGAACAGACCCAUAGACCAAUGGAAUAGACUAGAGAGCCCAGAUAUAAAACCAACCAUAUAUGGUCAAUUAAUAUACAAUAAAGGAGCCAUGGAUAUACAGUGGGGAAAUGACAGCCUUUUCAACAACUGGUGUUGGCAAAACUGGACAGCUACAUGCAAGAGAAUGAAACUGUAUUAUUAUCUAUCCCCAUGCACAAAAGUAAACUCGAAAUGUAUCAAAGACUGAAUGUAAGUCAUGAAACCAUAAAACUCUUAAAAGACAACACAGGCAAAAAUCUCCCGAAUAUAAGCAUGAGCAACUUCUCCCUAAACGCGUCUCCUCAAGCAAGGGAAACAGAAGCAAAAAUGAACACAUGGGACUAUAUCAAACUAAAAAGCUUCUGUAUAGCAAAGGACACCAGCAACAGAAGAAAAAGGCAUCCUACAGUAUGGGAGAAUAUAUUUGUAAGUGACAUAUCUGACAUGGGGUUAACAUCCAAAAUAUAUAAAGAACUCACAUGCCUCAACACUCAAAAGGCAAAUAACCUGAUUAAAAAAUAGGCGGAGGAUGUGAAGAGACAAUUCUCCAAAGAAGAAAUUCAGAUGGCCAACAGACACAUGAAAAGAUGCUCCACAUCACUAAUCAUCAGGGAAAUGCAAAUUAAAACCACAGUGAGGUAUCACCUCACACCAGUAAGGAUGGCCAGCAUUGAAAAGCUACAAACAACAAAUGCUGGUGAGGAUGCGGAGAAAGGGGAACCCUCCUGCACUGCUGGUGGGAAUGUAAGCUAGUUCAACCAUUGUGGAAAGCAGUAUGGAGGUUCCUCAAAAAACUAAACAUAGAAAUACCAUUUGAUCUGUGAAUCCCACUCCUUGGAAUUUACCCAAAGAAUACAACUUCUCAGAUUCAAAAAGACAAAUGCACCCCUAUGUUUACUGCAGCACUAUUUACAAUAGCCAAGACAUGGAAGCAACCUAAGUGUCAAUCAGUAGAUGAAUGGAUAAAGAAGAUGGAUAUACACAAUGGAAUACUAUUCAGCCAUAAGAAAGAAACAAAUCCUACCAUUUGCAACAACAUGGAAGGAGCUGGAAGAUAUUAUGCUCAGUGAAAUAAGGCAGAGAAAGACAAGUGGCAAAGGAUUUCCCUCAUUUGUGGAGUAUAACGAAAAGGCAAAACUGAAGAAACAUAACAGCAGCAGACUCACAGACUCCAACAAGGGGCUAGUGGUUACCAAAGGAAAGGGGUGUGGGAGGGUGGGUGGUGAGGGAGGCAGAAAGGGACUGAGGGAUAUUAUGUUUAAUACACAUGGUAUGAGGGGUCACAGGGAAAACAGUGUAGCACAGAGAAGGCAAAUAGUGAAUCUGUGGCAUCUUACUACACUGAUGGACAGUGACUGUAAUGGGAUAUGGGUGGGGACUUGAUAAUAUGGGUAAAUGUAGUAACCACACUGUUUUUUCAUGUGAAACCUUCAUAAGAGUAUAUAUCAAUAACACCUUAAUAAAAAGAAAUUA